rnacentral:lncRNA from 1 species
CAACAAGAAGAUUAAGGAAUUAGAGCGCCGCUAAGUUAUCUAGAUUAGACCUUGAGGCAAUAGAUCUUAGUCAUCUAUCUUUAAAUUCGGUUUAGGUUUACUAUUAUCAUUAGUUUGCUAUCAGUUUUCUACUAGUCUUUUGUAAUAAAUGCCUGAAGAUUAAUAAAGAGUAUUAUUAUUAUGUCUUGUGUGUCUCCAUUUUAUUUUUGUGCAAGAAAGUAGAAAACAAGUAUGGGGGAGAUCCCUCGACACGCUAAACACACUCCACUCCACGAUUCAGGUACACACUCUGCACACUUUACUUUACACAUACAACUAUCUUGAUUAUGCAGAUUACUGUUUCCAACAUGAUAAAUUUAAAAGAUUAAAAUAUUUCUGAUUAUGAUUAAUCUCAAUCUGUGAUAUUUCCUGAAAACUUAUAAUUAUUGAAUAUCAUUUUAAAACUCUGUGUCACUUAAGUCAAUAUGGAAUAUGUGAUGGUAGAGUAUGAGUUUCUUAUUCUUGAUAUCAUUGUUGCUUGGAGAAUUUAUUUCAAAAUAUUCAAAAUUCUAGCUACCAUCCUCAGUGUUUUAUAUACCUGAUAAAACUGAAAAUAUUAAUUAUGAUUACAAAAGCUAUCUAAUCUGUAUUGAGUUUGUUCAAAAUGAGUUAGACCCUUGUUGAGAGAUUUAUCAUGCUCCUAAGAUCAAGACAUUAUUUCAGAAAGAUUCACUCUUCCGAAGUAUUAUUGUAUUAGAGGCAUGGGCUAUGCAAAAAUAAAGAUAUUUCGAGGAAAUAAAAAAGAGCAAGUGCUCGACAACCUCGCAGAAAAAAAUGGACAAGUGUCCAGCAGUAGAAUUAGGUAUACCUCGGUAUCCACUUAAAAAAAAGAGAAGAAAAAGAGAAAAUGAUAGCCCAUGGUCCCACUAAUAAGCAAUAUGCCAGCAAGAGUUGACAAAGAUUUUAAUUUCCAAAGUCUUUGGUCUAAGAGUAUGACAUUCCCCUCCUCGGAUCCCGUUUUGAUCAGGCAAUAAAUGCAAAGUAAGUAUGCUUGAGAAUUUUUGCAAAAUAAAACAAACACAGUGAGAUAUAUAAAAGAUAAUGAGUG